AACGUAGGAGACAAACGUUAUCCGGAGUUACUGGGCGUAAAGGGCGUGUAGGUGGUUUCGUAAGUCUGGCGUGAAAUUUUUCGGCUUAACCGGGAAAGGUCGUCGGAUACUGCGGGACUGGAGGACGGUAGAGGCGUGUGGAAUUCCGGGUGUAGUGGUGAAAUGCGUAGAGAUCCGGAGGAACACCAGUGGCGAAGGCGGCCAGCUGGGCCAGUUCUGACGCUGAGGCGCGAAAGCGUGGGGAGCAAACAGG
rnacentral:rRNA from 1 species